rnacentral:rRNA from 1 species
GACGAACGCUGGCGGCGUGCUUAACACAUGCAAGUCGAACGGAAAGGCCCUGCUUUUGUGGGGUGCUCGAGUGGCGAACGGGUGAGUAACACGUGAGUAACCUGCCCGUGACUUUGGGAUAACUUCAGGAAACUGGGGCUAAUACCGGAUAGGAGCUCCUGCUGCAUGGUGGGGGUUGGAAAGUUUCGGCGGUUGGGGAUGGACUCGCGGCUUAUCAGCUUGUUGGUGGGGUAGUGGCUUACCAAGGCUUUGACGGGUAGCCGGCCUGAGAGUGUGACCGGCCACAUUGGGACUGAGAUACGGCCCAGACUCCUACGGGAGGCAGCAGUGGGGAAUAUUGCACAAUGGGCGGAAGCCUGAUGCAGCAACGCCGCGUGCGGGAUGACGGCCUUCGGGUUGUAAACCGCUUUCGCCUGUGACGAAGCGUGAGUGACGGUAAUGGGUAAAGAAGCACCGGCUAACUACGUG